UACGUAGGGUGCGAGCGUUGUCCGGAAUUAUUGGGCGUAAAGGGCUCGUAGGCGGUUUGUCACGUCGGGAGUGAAAACUCGGGGCUUAACCCCGAGCCUGCUUCCGAUACGGGCUGACUAGAGGUAUGCAGGGGAGAACGGAAUUCCUGGUGUAGCGGUGAAAUGCGCAGAUAUCAGGAGGAACACCGGUGGCGAAGGCGGUUCUCUGGACAGUUCCUGACGCUGAGGCACGAAGGCCAGGGGAGCAAACGGG
rnacentral:rRNA from 1 species